rnacentral:rRNA from 1 species
AUGAAAUACCUUGGUGAAGUUGCUUACAUAUUGGGCAUCAAGAUCUAUAGGGAUAGAUCGAGACGCUUAAUAGGACUUUCACAAAGCACAUACCUUAACAAAGUUCUGAAGAAGUUCAAAAUGGACCAGUCAAAGAAAGUGUUCUUGCCUGUGUUGCAAGGUGUAAAAUUGAGUCAGACUCAAAGUCCAACCACGACAGAAGAUAGAGAGAGAAUGAAAGUCAUUCCCUAUGCCUCAGCCAUAGGUUCUAUAAUGUAUGCCAUGUUGUGUACCAGACCUGAUGUGUGCCUUGCCAUAAGUUUGGCAGGGAGGUACCAAAGUAAUCCAGGAGUGGAUCACUGGACAACGGUGAAGAAUAUCCUGAAGUACCUGAAAAGGACCAAGGAUAUGUUUCUCGUUUAUGGAGGUGAAGAAGAGCUCGUCGUAAAGGGUUACGUUGAUGCUAGCUUCGACACAGAUCCGGAUGACUCUAAGUUGCAAACCGGAUACGUAUUUAUAUUGAAUGGUGGAGCUAUCAAUUGGUGCAGUUCUAAGCAGACCGUCGUGGCGGGAUCUACAUGUGAAGCAGAGUAUAUAGCUGCUUCAGAAGUAGCGCAUGAAGGAGUCUGGAUGAAGGAGUUCAUAUCUGAUCUGGGUGUAAUACCUAGUGCAUCGGGUCCAAUCACAAUCUUUUGUGACAACACUGGAGCAAUUGCCAUAGCCAAGGAGCCCGGGUUUCACGAGAAAACCAAACACAUCAAGCGACACUUCAACUCCAUUUGUAAAAAAGUCAAGGAUGGAGACAUAGAAAUUUGCAAAGUACAUGCGGAUCUGAAUGUGGCAGUCCCGUUGACUAAACCUCUUCCACGGGCAAAACAUAAUCAGCACCAAGACCCCAUGGGUGUUAGAUUCAUUACUAUGUAA